rnacentral:rRNA from 1 species
CCUACGGGCGGCUGCAGUGGGGAAUAUUGGGCAAUGGGCGCAAGCCUGACCCAGCAACGCCGCGUGAAGGAAGAAGGCUUUCGGGUUGUAAACUUCUUUUCUCAGGGACGAAGAAAGUGACGGUACCUGAGGAAUAAGCUACGGCUAACUACGUGCCAGCAGCCGCGGUAAUAUGUAGGUGGCAAGCGUUAUCCGGAUUUAUUGGGUGGAAAGGGCGUGUAGGCGGGAGCGCAAGUCAGAUGUGAAAACUCAGGGCUCAAACCUGAGCCUGCAUUUGAGACUGUGUUACUUGAGUGCUUGAGAGGCAAUCGGAAUUCCGGGUGUAGCGGUGAAAUGCGUAGAUAUACGGAGGAACACCAGUGGCGAAGGCGGAUUGCUGGACAGAAACUGACGCUGAGGCGCGAAAGCGUGGGGAGCAAACAGGAUUAGAUACCCCAGUAGUC